GAGUUUGAUCAUGGCUCAGAUUGAACGCUGGCGGCAGGCCUAACACAUGCAAGUCGAGCGGAUGACGGGAGCUUGCUCCUUGAUUCAGCGGCGGACGGGUGAGUAAUGCCUAGGAAUCUGCCUGGUAGUGGGGGACAACGUUUCGAAAGGAACGCUAAUACCGCAUACGUCCUACGGGAGAAAGCAGGGGACCUUCGGGCCUUGCGCUAUCAGAUGAGCCUAGGUCGGAUUAGCUAGUUGGUGGGGUAAUGGCUCACCAAGGCGACGAUCCGUAACUGGUCUGAGAGGAUGAUCAGUCACACUGGAACUGAGACACGGUCCAGACUCCUACGGGAGGCAGCAGUGGGGAAUAUUGGACAAUGGGCGAAAGCCUGAUCCAGCCAUGCCGCGUGUGUGAAGAAGGUCUUCGGAUUGUAAAAGCACUUUAAGUUGGGAGGAAGGGCAGUAAGUUAAUACCUUGCUGUUUUGACGUUACCGACAGAAUAAGCACCGGCUAACUCUGUGCCAGCCGCC
rnacentral:rRNA from 1 species